AUAAUUAUAACCCUAUCGCUUUAACAUACGCAAGUAAAUAAUUAAUUUAGAGUAAGCCAAGCAUAAUUAAACCUUAUUUGUAUGUUAUUAAGAAAUUGUCAACUGAACACGACAUUAGAUUUGUCACACAAGCACAAAAACUGCGUAGCUUAAUUUAAAAGUUACAAGUCCUGAUUAACCUUUAUUCAAAUUUAUAUCUUAACACACCAAAUGAAGUGUGUAUUUCGAGUGUUACGCGGAUUUAGUUAUGUCUCUUUGUCAUCGAUGUUGUCCAUCACAAUGCUGCGUCACUCAGUCUUAUCUUGAAGCGCAAUGAAGAUUGCAGUGAUUUUUGUAUUCAUAAUUUUGGCGAUAUCACACUUCUCCUUUUCUGACACGAGAACUUACCAAGAUACCCAUCUCGUGCGUGUUAUAAAGAGCCUGAGAUCCGGAAGGGGUAGAAAACCUAUGUUGAAAGUAUUAUUGCUGAAAGGAAAACGUAAAAAAAAAGUUGAUGUCCAUUCAACCAACUGGAGCAAAAUGGACUGGCUGGAUAGCCGAAGACGAAUUAUUCCAAUUAUUUUAAACAAAUAGAAUUAAUUGAAACAAA